rnacentral:rRNA from 1 species
GAUGAACGCUGGCGGCGUGCCUAAUACAUGCAAGUCGAGCGAACAGACGAGAAGCUUUCUCCUCUUACGUUAGCGGCUGACGGGUGAGUAACACGUGGAUAACCUACCUAUAAUACUGGGAUAACUUCGGGAAACCGGAGAUAAUACCUGAUAAUAUAGUUAACCGCAUGGUUCAAUAGUGAAAGACGGUGUUGCUGUCACUUAUAGAUGUAUCCGCGCCGCAUUAGCUAGUUGGUAAGGUAACGGCUUACCAAGGCAACGUUGCGUAGCCGACCUGGGAGGUUGAUCGGCAACACUGGAACUGGGCAACGGUCAAGCCUCCUCCGGAAGGAACAAGUAGGGAACCUUCGGAAUGGGCCGAAAGCUUGACGGAGCAACGCCGCGUGAGUAAUGAAGGUCUCCGGAUCGUAAAACUCUGUUAUUAGGGCAGAAAAACUGUGUAAGAAGAUAUACCCGUAUUGACGGUACCUAAUAAGAAAGCCACGGCUAACUACGUG